rnacentral:miRNA from 1 species
AGGCGUGGUGGCGGGCGCCUGUGAUCCCAGCUACUCAGGAGGCUGAGGCAGAAGAAUUGCUUGAACCUGGGAGGCAGAGGUUGCAGUGAGC